ACCAGCCCUGAGGGGCUCCGGGCUCCCCACCUCCUGGGUAGAAGAAAUGUAUCAAGCAAGACCCCUCUCUAGGAACCUCUUUUUGUACACCUUCCUACAAAACCAUGGCCCAGGCUUCCUGGACGACCAAGACUCAGGGCUUCCUGGUGUGACCAGUAUCUUGGAGUUCCACCCCAUCUCCCCCUACAGUGACAGUCCACACUACCUGGCCAUGCAGCUGGCCUCCAUUGCCGAUGAGAUGGAGCUGAGGUUGCUGCUGCCCCAGUUCGUUGAGCCCUUCUGGAUGACCAUGUACAGCUUGUUUUUCCCCUACAGCCACGUAGGGCUCAGGGAUGUUCUGAGAAGCUUUAUGGCUGCUUUCACCAACCUUAGGGAGAACCGAAGGCUCUGGAGCUUCCUGACUCUCAGGGACCGGGUGUCGCCCAGCCUGUGGCCCGAGCUGGCGCUGUCCCUGCUGGUGGUGGCGAUGCUCAGCUGGGGGUGCCGCCCCCACUGACCGAACUGCUGGUCAGUGUGGGGGUGGGGCUGGCCCCUCCCUCUCGACCACCACCCUGGCGGUGGCCCUGUUUUGGUGGUGUUGUCUUUUAACUGUUUUCUGAUGAUGCUUUUUUUUUUUUUUUUUAAUUUAAACUCUGAGUGCUGGGACACUGAGGUUCAUACUAUUUUUUUCCUUUUUUUUUUUUUUUGUAAGAGAAAUGAAUUUAUUAUACCUCUGGGGUCGUUACUGGUUAAUGACCUGCUCUCCCGGUGCCAGCCUGCUCUGCGGUGGCCUGUCCUGGGACGGAGCCUCCCUCUCAUGGGUUGGUCGAACAGGGGGCGGCGGGGGGAGUGCUGGUCACACCCCCGUGUCUGGGAUGCCCGUGGCACAGAGAAUCUGCUGGAAUAGAUUUCUGUGGGGCGAGGAGAGCUCAAUAAAAUGUUGGUUUCCA
ensembl:lncRNA